rnacentral:rRNA from 1 species
CCAUGCUAGUUGCACGAGUUUAGACUCGUGGCGUAUAGCUCAGUAACACGUGGCCAAACUACCCUACAGAUCGGGAUAACCUCGGGAAACUGAGGCUAAUACCGAAUACGGCUUCCACGCUGGAACUGCAGGAAGCUGGAAAUACUACGGUGCUGUAGGAUGUGGCUGCGGCCGAUUAGGUAGACGGUGGGGUAACGGCCCACCGUGCCUGUAAUCGGUACGGGUCGUGAGAGCGAGAGCCCGGAGACGAUAUCUGAGACAAGAUAUCGGGCCCUACGGGGCGCAGCAGGCGCGAAACCUUUACACUGCACGUCAGUGCGAUAGGGGGACUCCGAGUGCGGGGGCAUAGAGCCCUCGCUUUUGUACACCGUAAGGUGGUGUACGAAUAAGAACUGGGCAAGACCGGUGCCAGCCGCCGCGGUAAUACCGGCAGUUCGAGUGAUGGCCGAUAUUAUUGGGCCUAAAGCGUUCGUAGCUGGCCGAGCAAGUCUGUCGGGAAAUCCACGCGCUCAACGCGUGGGCGUCCGGCGGAAACUGCUCGGCUUGGGACCGGAAGACUCGAGGAGUACGUCUGGGGUAGGAGUGAAAUCCCGUAAUCCUAGACGGACUACCGAUGGCGAAAGCACCUCGAGAGCACGGAUCCGGCAGUGAGGACGAAAGCUGGGGUCUCGAACCGGAU